rnacentral:rRNA from 1 species
UAGGGAAUCUUCGGCAAUGGACGGAAGUCUGACCGAGCAACGCCGCGUGAGUGAAGAAGGUUUUCGGAUCGUAAAGCUCUGUUGUUAGAGAAGAACGUUGGUAGGAGUGGAAAAUCUACCAAGUGACGGUAACUAACCAGAAAGGGACGGCUAACUACGUGCCAGCAGCCGCGGUAAUACGUAGGUCCCGAGCGUUGUCCGGAUUUAUUGGGCGUAAAGCGAGCGCAGGCGGCUCUUUAAGUCUGAAGUUAAAGGCAGUGGCUUAACCAUUGUACGCUUUGGAAACUGGAGGACUUGAGUGCAGAAGGGGAGAGUGGAAUUCCAUGUGUAGCGGUGAAAUGCGUAGAUAUAUGGAGGAACACCGGUGGCGAAAGCGGCUCUCUGGUCUGUAACUGACGCUGAGGCUCGAAAGCGUGGGGAGCAAACAGGAUUAGAUACCCUGGUAGUCCACGCCGUAAACGAUGAGUGCUAGGUGUUAGGCCCUUUCCGGGGCUUAGUGCCGCAGCUAACGCAUUAAGCACUCCGCCUGGGGAGUACGACCGCAAGGUUG